UACAGAGGGUGCGAGCGUUGUCCGGAAUCACUGGGCGUAAAGGGCGCGCAGGCGCCGCCCGCGUGUGUGGUGAAAGCUCCUGGCUUAACUGGGAGAGGUCCAUGCAGACGGGGCGGCUUGAGCGUCGGAGAGGGGCAUGGAAUUCCGGGUGGAGCGGUGAAAUGCGUAGAGAUCCGGAGGAACACCAAUGGCGAAGGCAGUGCCCUGGCCGACGGCUGACGCUCAGGCGCGAAAGCGUGGGGAGCAAACAGG
rnacentral:rRNA from 1 species